rnacentral:antisense_RNA from 1 species
CCGCCGCCUCUCGGGCGCCUGCGCUCACGCUGCGGGGCCCAGCGCAUUGUGAGCCGGGUAGGGCUCCAAGCUGGCAGCGUCUGAGAGCUGUCCUGGGCCGGAGGUGGCGCGACCCCUGUGCGGCCUAGAGUGGGCCUGGGGAAGCCAGCUGCCAUGUUCUGAGUACCCUCUGGAAGGGCCUGCGUGGCAAGGAACUGAUGUUUCCAGCCAGCAGCCAGCAAGAACUGCAAGCCUUGUGAAUGAGCUUGGAAGCAGAUCCUCCCCUCACUCAAGCAGUGAUAUGACAACAGCCUGAGACCCAGAGGUGGACGGUAGUGAGCUGUGUUUCCAGGCAAAGGGGAGGACAGGACGCCUUGUGGCAGCCCAAGCUGUGAAAAAUAGAAUCAGAAAUCUGAGCGUAGGAAAAAGUGGGUUAGCCCUGGAGAAAGGAAAAGGAGGAUCAUGGUUCUCUGCAAAGAGCUGGAAGCUAAAAAGCA